AGUACGAGCGAGUACACAGUGAAACUGCGAAUGGCUCAUUAAAUCAGUUGUGGUUCCUUAGAUCGUUUGCCCACCCGGUUACAUGGAUAACUGUGGUAAUUCUAGAGCUAAUACAUGCAAGUGAGCCCCGAUCCCUUGUGGAGAAGGGCGCAGUUAUUAGACCAAGACCAGCGUGCUCGGGCUCCCCUCGCGGGCUGCCCGGCACCUCACGUUGUGGUGACUUUGGAUAACCUCGGGCUGAUCGCACGGCCUCCGAGCCGGCGACGUAUCUUUCAAAUGUCUGCCCUAUCAAAUGUCGAAGGGAGGUGCCUUGCCUCCCUUGUUUGCAACGGGUAACGGGGAAUCAGGGUUCGAUUCCGGAGAGGGAGCAUGAGAAACGGCUACCACAUCCAAGGAAGGCAGCAGGCGCGCAAAUUACCCACUCCUGACWCGGGGAGGUAGUGACGAUAACUAACGGUGCGGGACUCUUUUGAGGCUCCGCAACCGGAAUGAGCACAGUCUAAAUCCUUUAGCGAGGAUCUAUUGGAGGGCAAGUCUGGUGCCAGCAGCCGCGGUAAUUCCAGCUCCAAAUAGCGUAUAUUAAAGUUGUUGCAGUUAAAAAGCUCGUAGUUGGAUCUCGGGCUUGCCGGCACGUGGUCUCAUCGGGUCCCGAGGCUCAAUGCCGCUCGUGACGCACUGCCGCCGGCGCCCAACCGGCGGGGAGAGGCCCGAGCAGGGCCGUCUCGGUGGUGGCGUGCAAACGCGCCACUGGUUGUGGCUGCCCUUCACCGGGUGGGCCACGGCACCCGUCGAGUUUACUUUGAAAAAAUUAGAGUGUUCAAGGCAGGCUCUGACAGCCUGAAUAAUGGUGCAUGGAAUAAUGGAACAGGGCCUCGGUCCUAUUCUGUUGGUUCUUCGGGACUGGAGGCAAUGAUUAAGAGGGACAGGCUCGCGGGGGCAGUCGUACUGCGGCGCGAGAGGUGAAAUUCUUGGACCGCCGCAAGACKCACUACUGCGAAAGCAUCUGCCCAGGAUGUUUUCAUUAAUCAAGAACGAAAGUCAGAGGUUCGAAGACGAUCAGAUACCGUCCUAGUUCUGACCCUAAACGAUGCCGACUGGCGAUCCGCCGGAGUCGUACCUAUGACCCGGCGGGCAGCCUCCGGGAAACCUAGCAAGUCUACGGGUUCCGGGGGAAGUAUGGUUGCAAAGCUGAAACUUAAAGGAAUUGACGGAAGGGCACCACCAGGAGUGGAGCCUGCGGCUUAAUUUGACUCAACACGGGGAAACUCACCCGGCCCGGACACCGUGAGGAUUGACAGAUUGAGAGCUCUUUCUUGAUUCGGUGGGUGGUGGUGCAUGGCCGUUUUUAGUUGGUGGAGCGAUCUGUCUGGUUAAUUCCGAUAACGAACGAGACUCUGGCGUCCUAAUAGUCCUCCCCCCCGCCAAUGGGAGGGGAGACCGAGUACUUCUUAGACGGACAAGCGGCGUGGCCAGCCGCACGAGAAUGAGCAAUAACAGGUCUGUGAUGCCCUUAGAUGUUCGGGGCCGCACGCGCGCUACACUGAAAGAGGCAAAGGGUCGAGUCCUGGGCUGGCGAGCCUGGGCAACCCGCCGCCAAACUCUAUCGUGCUAGGGACUGGGGCUUGCAAUUUUUCCCCACCAACGAGGAAUUCCCAGUAAGCGCGAGUCAUCAGCUCGUGUUGAUUACGUCCCUGCCCUUUGUACACACCGCCCGUCGCUACUACCGAUGGAAUGGUUUGGUGAGGCCGCUGGACGGGCCCCGGGCUGGCCUUCGGGCCGGCCGUCUUGGUGCUGCCCGGAAGGCGGUCGAACUUGAUCAUUUAGAGGAAGUAAAAGUCGUAACAAGGUUUCCGUAGGUGA
rnacentral:rRNA from 1 species